AUACGGAGGAUGCGAGCGUUAUCCGGAUUUAUUGGGUUUAAAGGGAGCGUAGGUGGGAUAUUAAGUCAGCUGUGAAAGUUUGGGGCUCAACCUUAAAAUUGCAGUUGAUACUGGUUUCCUUGAGUACGGUACAGGUGGGCGGAAUUCGGGGUGUAGCGGUGGAAUGCUUAGAUAUCACGAAGAACUCCGAUCGCGAAGGCAGCUCACCGGGCCGGAACUGACACUGAUGCUCGAAAGUGCGGGUAUCAAACAGGAUUAGAUACCCUGGUAGUCCGCACAGUAAACGAUGAAUACUCGCUGUUUGCGAUACACGGUAAGCGGCCAAGCGAAAGCGUUAAGUAUUCCACCUGGGGAGUACGCCGGCAACGGUGAAACUCAAAUGAAUUGACGGGG
rnacentral:rRNA from 1 species